rnacentral:rRNA from 1 species
UGUGGAUUUUGUCAGGAAAGGAGCAAUUCGCUAUGAGAGGGGUCCGCGGCUGAUUAGCUAGUUGGUGAGGUAAUGGCUCACCAAGGCCACGAUCAGUAGCCGGUCUGAGAGGACGGUCGGCCACACUGGAACUGAGACACGGUCCAGACUCCUACGGGAGGCAGCAGUGGGGAAUUUUUCGCAAUGGGGGAAACCCUGACGAAGCAAUGCCGCGUGGAUGAUGAAGUAUCUCGGUACGUAAAAUCCUUUCGACGGGGACGAAACCGCAAGGUUGACGGUACCCGUAGAAGAAGCCCCGGCUAACUCCGUGCCAGCAGCCGCGGUAAUACGGGGGGGGCAAGCGUUGUUCGGAAUUACUGGGCGUAAAGGGUGCGUAGGCGGCUUUCUAAGUUGGAUGUGAAAACUCUGGGCUCAACCCAGAGACUGCAUCCAAAACUGGAGAGCUUGGGUUCUGGAGGGGAGAGCGGAAUUCCUGGUGUAGCGGUGAAAUGCGUAGAUAUCAGGAGGAACACCGGUGGCGAAGGCGGCUCUCUGGACAGACACCGACGCUGAGGCACGAAAGCUAGGGGAGCAAACAGGAUUAGAUACCCUGGUAGUCCUAGCCCUAAACGAUGGAUACUUGCUGUGAGGGGGAUUGAAACCCUUUGUGGCGAAGCUAACGCAU